rnacentral:tRNA from 1 species
GCCCCCAUGGUCUAGAGGCUUAGGACAUCACUCUUUCAUGGUGAUAACGGGGAUUCGAAUUCCCCUGGGGGUA